AUAGCAAAAGGAUAGUGGCUGGAACACUAGGGAACAACCACUUACCCUAGCCUGGAAGGCAGGUCUUCAUUCACUCCACCCACCCACAGCACAUCCUAGCAUUACUGCCUAUGAAGGUCAAGGUUCUUUCAUAACUGUUUUUGUUUGUGAUCUUGACUUUUCUCUCUUAUCCUAGAAGGGCAACCAUCAAGAUCUUGGUGAGUCAAUUCUGAGUGAUACACACAGCUACUCCUUUAGCUCACUAUAUCAACCCUCAAGGUUCCGGGCCUUCAGAAAGACCGUCAAUCAGUUUGGCUGGCUCCUUGGCUAACAAAUAUCCACAAAGGGAUGGAUCAGGAGGUCCAUCAAGGUAAAAAACUAAUUGGGCAUAUUAGGAUGAGAAGCCAGAAAAGGUGACAUUUAUAUGAUUCUAGAUCAGGGAUUGGCCUGACACUGCCUUCAAGUGACUUCCUGCUGGCUACUUCAGGAUGAAUAGCCAAAUGAAUGACGUCACCUGUAGAUUAAAAAAAAAAAAGAGUACAGGAGUCCAGGCUCCCGCAACUAGAAAAGCAUUAAGCUUUCUUCUUCUAAUUAGACACUUAAAGACAUACUAUGGUAAGUCCAUGCUUUGCAUUCCCUGGAAAUUGUUGGGGGGGAGGGUAGUUCCCCUAAGCCCUUCUAACCUUUUCCUUUAAAUAGCUUGGUGACUUCUUGUGGCCCAUGGGUGAAUGACUCCAGCUCAACACCUGAACAUUGACCUGCUUGAAUAUUAGUUUCCAUUUCGUUUGUGGGGCUUUUCCUCUGUAAGAAUUAUUUUAUUUUCCCUGCCGUCAUUCUCCAUCCUGUCCUUUGUGCUUUAGAAAGGCCCUCUUUCCUCAGCUGAAGAACAUUGGUACCAACUGCUUGACUCUCAAGAGGGAGAUGUAAACUGAAGGGAAAACAUUUGACCUCGAGACCAUUCUGUCAGAAUGCACUGAUCCUUAUUUCCUUUCACACUCUCUUAAGCUUCUUGUGAAUUCCUACUAGAGUAGGUACAUUUAUUUAUUGUAUGAGUGUGUGUGUGUGUGUGUGUGUGUGUGUGUGUGUGUGUGUGUGUGUGUGUUAUGUAUGGUGUGUUUGUGGUGUUUGGGGGGGGAUGUGUGUGUGUGUGUGUGUGUGUGUAUGUGUGUGUGUGUGUGCAAGUGCACACAUGCCGAGCUCAGAGAACACCUCUCAUGAGUUGGUCUGUCCUUCUACCUUGUGGGAUCUGGAGAUUGAACAUAGGUGGUGAGACCUGGGCAGAAAAGGUUCUAUUCAGUAAAUAAUCUUGUCAGCCCGGCAUUUUAGGUUUAAAAACCAGGAUUAGAAACAGAAGGGAGACACGAUCAGCAAUUAGAACAUUCCUUCAAGUUCUAGAAAUUAGGACAGAGUCCACGGCAGCAGGUGAGCUGACUACCAACAAAGGAACGAGUGACUUUUGUUCAAAGUUUGCUCUGGAAGUUCAGGAGCCCCCACUGAACUUUGUGCCUGACUAUCUUAACACUUCUUAUUUUGUAUUUGAGAGUCUGGCCAGGAUUGGAAACAGGUGUGAAGAAUGACAAGAGCUGAUGUUUUUGCAGUACUUCGAGCCAGGAGUGUUUUGAGGAUAGAGUCUCACUAUAUAAUCCAAACUGUCUUCAAACUCAUGAUUCUCCUACCUCUGCCUCCCAGGUGCUGGCAUCACAGUCAUGUGCUACCACAUCCAGCCCACCCCUGUACCUGGUUUGAAAGCUUGCUACUGAAUGCACACGUUUUGAGGGCCAAGGCAAACCCUGCUCCACACCCUCGUGCCCUUGAUAUACAUACCACGGCCAGUUUUCCUCCACCCAGAUUCUUUUUGAGCCACAGCAACCACGAGUGUUUAACAGCCAUCUUUACCUUUUUUCUCCCUCUUUGGUCUUCAAGCCAGGGAGUCUAGAAUAUGAGUAGUCUAUAGAAUGAGCCUGAAGUGACCUUAGAAGAAUGGAGACUCUGCAUUGAGCUAUAAUACCCUGAGGAAGUCACCAUCCAGAUCUGGGUAGUGUGCACCAACAAUUACAGACACAGCCGAUGUCCGUGUGAGGAACUUUCCAAACAUUGGAAGCAGCUGAGAAAGGAAAACCGAUCGAGGGCAGAGCCGCCCUCCAGCUGGGAGUUCCAGAGGACAGGACCGCAGGUGGAAGCCCAACUGGUGUCCAUAUAUACCCCAAAAGAUUGGGAUGUUGAAGAUAUCUCCUGGAGCUGCCCUCUCUAAACCCCUCCCCUCCGGAAGCCCACCAAGAAUCAGCCUUCCCGGGGCUGUUCAAGACCACAUCUACAGGCUGCUUAAGACCUGGUUGACGUAUUUGCCACAUGAUUCCUCUCCUGCCCUCUUGAGAGUCACCCAGGAGUUGCUUUGCUCUGCUCAUUAAACCUGGUCUUACGGAUUUAGCUUGAUUGGCUUAUUACAUUGGUAGCGGAGGAUAUGUAAUAACCAGGGAUUCAAAACUUACGACCCUGCCUGAGGAAAUACGUUGGGACUCAAGCAAACAAGCAAAUGAAGGUAAAAGAAUGAUUAAGAUCACACUUGGUCUCUGUGUAAAUUUUUUUUUUUUUUUUUUACAAAACUUUAUUUCAGGAGUAAAUUUUGCCCACCACCCAGCAAGAGCAGUGCAUUUUCUUUCUGUGGUCCUUAUCCACCUACCCAGUAUCCUAGAUGCGUUCCCUUCCCUGAGCCUGGAUCCUCAAGCAAGCUCAGUUCCAUCAAGGAGCCACCAUUGACUGGCUUCAGAAACGGGCCUCUCUCCCUCUGAAUUCCAUACUCCUUUUACCCAGAAUCUACUUUUGUUUCUUAGGCUAAUUUAUCAUUUAAAAGAUACUAUUUAGCGUGAAGUCCUGAUAGCAUUUGCCCGUGUGGGAAAUGUCUUGUUUGCACUGUCAUUUGUCACAUUCUCUUGUAAUUCAGAGUUUUGUUGUGCACAUCCAUCUCCAUCCAAAUCAGGCAACUUGAAGGAAUGUUGUGGGGAGGGGGAUGGUGGUCUGAUCCAUGAUCUAUGUUAAAACUUCCCUGGUACUUCUGGUUCAUAGAAUAAGGAAUAGACCAACAGCUCCAUAAAGAGGGUGACUGCAUAUUUGCUCCAUUCUGAGCUUAAUGCCACGAACGUUCAAGAAACACCUCUAGACCAAAUGCCUCGAUAUCUCCAGUGCUUGAAUAACGUUAUCUAUUAUUGUUCGUUCAUUUAAGGGCUUCCAUAAAUUCUACAGGAUGAUGUACAUUAGUAAAUUACUGCCUCCCUUCAAAAAAAUUAUAGUUGGAUAGGAGCAAAGAAGACUGGAGAAACAUACCAAAAAUUCUGAUACUCUUUUUUGCAUCACUGGUGAAGAUUUUUCCAGUGGUUGCAAAAGUGCCUUACAGAGAACACUGUAUGGCAGUGGGUUCUUAACCCUCCUAAUACCGCGACCCUUUAAUACAGUUCCUCAUGUUGUGGUGACCCCCAACCAUUACAUUAUUUUCACUGCUACUUCAUAACUGUAAUUUUGCUACUGUUAUGAAUUGUAAUGUAGGUAUAUAUGUUUUUUGAUAGUCCUAGGUGACUCUGUAAAAUCAUUCUUCAACCCCAAAGAGGUUGCGACCCACAGUUUGAGAAACACUGUUCUAAUGCAACCAUCAUUUCCUCUUCUGGAAUGCAGAAGUAUUCCACAUCAUACUGCAAGGGUUCAUUGAGUUGAUGGAAACUUUGACAAAAUUCUGCUUAAGAUCUUUGGAAAACUGCCAGAACCUUCUGAGGUCAUUCCAGACCAGUUGUCUUCCUCUGUUAUGCACCGAGGCAGGAAAUGUUUUCUCCUUCUGAAAUGAGCAACGCAAGGGGCCUGUAAGGAAUGCACACAGGGCAACAUGCUAUCAGUUCUCUCCGGCUGUUUGCCAUGAUCUUUUUCAUUUUUCAUGGGGACAACAAGUUCUUUGGGAUGCUAGCUCUGAUUUCACACAUAAGACAAAACAAACGCUUCCUGUUGGCCUUCAGAGGGCGACUUCACUGAAGGCUUAGCUUUUAUUUUCCUUCAGAAGAGGAAGAAGCAAGAUUUGAAGGAGUACUUCCAUUCACCAGGUUAUCCCAGAGUCAGUUGGUAAGGCUGUAAAAACAAACAAUGAACAUUUAAAAAAUUAUUUUUAAAUUCUGAAAACAGUGAAGCCUGUCCACAUGACUUUCCCAUCUUACACCGCUUCUUUUUUAAUAGAUGCGAGUGGUCUUGGCCCCCAUACAAGGUCAUUUGAGAACAAUAGUGCUUUAGGCAUUGACGUUUUUGAGGUCCUGUUUAAAAGGGUUUGAUUGGAGCUGCUGUAGUCUGACCUGAGUCACUGCACAGGGUGCCAGGCAGACUAAAGACCUGGCUAGCCUCCAGAGGGACUGUUAUUGUGGCGAAUCUCCAGGUUAAAGAGGCAGCUAGUGCUGGGCACGAAUGGGCUUAGUCUGGGAUUUACUACCUGAACAGAGACAGGCUUUGACCUUUGCAUAACAAUGGGCUUAGAUUAAAUUUGGGUGGAAUUUGCCGGAGACCACCCUGGAGAAAGGCAUGAAGAUCUAAGGGGUAGACAAUGAGAUUGCAGGAAGAUAGACUUAGGUCAAAGUCUCAUUUCCUCCAAACAUUGUGUGAAUCAUCUAAGAUACUUAACGUUCUUUGAGGCUUAGGUUUCUUGUGUAUUGAGUGUAAUAACUAGUGUUAUUCUGAAGAUGAAAAGAACUAAGGUAUAUUAUGUGCUUGGCCCUGGAUGGCACUGAAUAGGCACAUGUCCUUUCUUACCCCCUUUGCUUGAAAAUGUAUCAGUAAAUCGUCUAGCUAAGGCACAGAAAAUGAUUUUCCCUUAUCUGAAAGAAAUGCAAUGUCACUGAUUUUUUGAUACACACUUCAUUUAGAAAGAGUAGCUAAGACUGUAUUGUAGGAUGAUCAGAAAGAUCAGCAAGAAUACUCUCUUGCUAUCCUGCUGUUACAGGGAGCACUCCUGUAGAGAAACAAGCAGAAAACACAUUUGAGGAAGGUAGAGUUUAUCAUUUCACCAGUAGCAGGGUAAUAAUAGGUUUAGUUAUCAUGUGCUAACUGUAAGCAAGUUUUCACGUUUUUCAAAAAACAUUUUGAAGCAGUGGUAGAUUUCUUGUAGCCAUGUGUUUGACCUGCUUCGGAGACCUGCCUGGAGACAGAGUCAUUUUUCAUAAACCUUGAGUGCUGUGCUUGUAAAAAUGACUAAAAUGUCUAAAACUAUGGAUGUCAAGACUGAGGACAAAAAGAAAAGAGAUGCUUGUGGGGAAAAGCAAUCAGAACAGUAUAUAUGUUGGUUAUUUAAACAUGACAGUUCAUGAAAGGUCUUAAAUGUCUCCAGUAUGAAAACAAGCUAAAUUUAUUGGUGAUAAAAGUUGUUUUAUCACAGGUAAUCACUUUCCCAACUGUCCUUAAGUAUUCUACAAUCCUUUUGAAAUGAAUCAGUUGUGUGUUUUACAAACAGAUUUUAGAGCAUUUGGAACAUAUUGAUGUGGGACGUAGUUGGCUUUUUUGCACUUAUUUGAUCAUUUCUUUAGGCAUUGGCACAUCUUUGGAGACCAUUCUGUCUGCCUCUAGUUUUCCUCUCACAUGGCGAGAAGGUGAGGUUUCAACAGGUCUUCUUGUAUACUACAUGUCUCUGCUCUAAGACAAGCAGAAUAAGACAAGCAGAAGUUACAGCAAUGGCCUGUAUACGCUUUAUAUGCUCUUUUCUUUUCUUCUUUCCUUCCUUCCUUCUUUUUUUUUUUUUUUUUUUUUUUUUUAG